AGAGUUUGAUCAUGGCUCAGGACGAACGCUGGCGGCGUGCCUAACACAUGCAAGUGGAGCGACGAACCAGGCUUCGGCCUGGGGCAAAGCCGCGAACGGGUGAGUAACACGUGGGUAACCUACCCCGAAGACCGGGACAACCCGAGGAAACUCGAGCUAAUACCGGAUGUGGUCACUGUUCUCAAGGACAGUGAGCAAAGGAAGCUUCGACCUCCGCUUCGGGAGGGGCCCGCGGCCCAUUAGCUUGUUGGUGAGGUAACGGCUCACCAAGGCUGCGAUGGGUAGCUGGUCUGAGAGGACGAUCAGCCACACUGGGACUGAGACACGGCCCAGACUCCUACGGGAGGCAGCAGUGGGGAAUCUUGCGCAAUGCGCGAAAGCGUGACGCAGCAACGCCGCGUGGGGGAAGAAGGCCUUCGGGUCGUAAACCCCUUUCAGGAGGGACGAAGCCUCGGGAGUGAAUAGCUCUCCGAGGUGACGGUACCUCAAUAAGAAGCCCCGGCUAACUACGUGCCAGCAGCCGCGGUA
rnacentral:rRNA from 1 species